rnacentral:rRNA from 1 species
AUGUGGAUUAAUUCGAUGCAACGCGAAGAACCUUACCUGGGCUUGACAUGCACUGGAAACCGGCAGAGAUGUCGGCCCCCUUGUGGCCGGUGUACAGGUGGUGCAUGGCUGUCGUCAGCUCGUGUCGUGAGAUGUUGGGUUAAGUCCCGCAACGAGCGCAACCCUUAUCCUGUGUUGCCAGCGCGUAAUGGCGGGGACUCGCGGGAGACUGCCGGGAGGAAGGUGGGGAUGACGUCAAGUCAUCAUGCCCCUUAUGUCCA